UAGGGAAUCUUCCGCAAUGGGCGAAAGCUUGACGGAGCAACGCCGCGUGAGUGAUGAAGGUCUUCGGAUCGUAAAACUCUGUUAUUAGGGAAGAACAAAUGUGUAAGUAACUAUGCACGCCUUGACGGUACCUAAUCAGAAAGCCACGGCUAACUACGUGCCAGCAGCCGCGGUAAUACGUAGGUGGCAAGCGUUAUCCGGAAUUAUUGGGCGUAAAGCGCGCGUAGGCGGUUUUUUAAGUCUGAUGUGAAAGCCCACGGCUCAACCGUGGAGAGUCAUUGGAAACUGGAAAACUUGAGUGCAGAAGAGGAAAGUGGAAUUCCAUGUGUAGCGGUGAAAUGCGCAGAGAUAUGGAGGAACACCAGUGGCGAAGGCGACUUUCUGGUCUGUAACUGACGCUGAUGUGCGAAAGCGUGGGGAUCAAACAGG
rnacentral:rRNA from 1 species